GCUGGGUGUGGUGGCGCACGCCUGUAAUCCCAGCUACUCAGGAGGCUGAGGCAGGAGAAUUGCUUGAACCCAGGAGAUGGAGGUUGCAUGAGCCAAGAUCGCACCAGUGCACUCCAGCCUGGGUGACAGAGCGAGACUCUAUCUCAA
rnacentral:SRP_RNA from 1 species